GACGAACGCUGGCGGCGUGCUUAACACAUGCAAGUCGAACGGAAAGGCCCUGCUUUUGUGGGGUGCUCGAGUGGCGAACGGGUGAGUAACACGUGAGUAACCUGCCCUUGACUUUGGGAUAACUUCAGGAAACUGGGGCUAAUACCGGAUAGGAGCUCCUGCUGCAUGGUGGGGGUUGGAAAGUUUCGGCGGUUGGGGAUGGACUCGCGGCUUAUCGGCUUGUUGGUGGGGUAGUGGCUUACCAAGGCUUUGACGGGUAGCCGGCCUGAGAGGGGGACCGGCCAAGUUGGGAUUGGAAUGAGGCCCGGACCAGUACGGUAGGCAAGAGUGGGGAGGAUUACACAAUGGGCGGAGGGAAGGUGCAACAACGCCGCGUGGGGUGAGAGGGGCUGGGGGUAGUAUUGCACUUUCGCCUGUGACGGGGCGUGAGUGACGGUAAUGGGUGAAGAAGCACCGGCUAACUACGUG
rnacentral:rRNA from 1 species